rnacentral:rRNA from 1 species
UACGUAGGGGGCAAGCGUUGUCCGGAUUUAUUGGGCGUAAAGAGCGUGUAGGCGGCCAGGUAGGUCUGCUGUGAAAACUCGAGGCUUAACCUCGAGCUGUCGGCGGAAACCAUCUGGCUAGAGUCCGGAAGAGGAGAAUGGAAUUCCUGGUGUAGCGGUGAAAUGCGCAGAUAUCAGGAAGAACACCUAUGGCGAAGGCAGCACUCUGGGACGGUACUGACGCUGAGACGCGAAAGCGUGGGGAGCGAACAGG